UACGUAGGGACCAAGCGUUGUUCGGAUUUACUGGGCGUAAAGGGCGCGUAGGCGGCGUGGUAAGUCACUUGUGAAAUCUCCGAGCUUAACUCGGAACGGUCAAGUGAUACUGCUGUGCUAGAGUGCAGAAAGGGCAAUCGGAAUUCUUGGUGUAGCGGUGAAAUGCGUAGAUAUCAAGAGGAACACCUGAGGCGAAGGCGGGUUGCUAGGCUGACACUGACGCUGAGGCGCGAAAGCUAGGGUAGCAAACGGG
rnacentral:rRNA from 1 species